CAGCCGCCGCGGGAAUACGUAGGUCCCGAGCGUUGUCCGGAUUUAUUGGGCGUAAAGGGAGCGCAGGCGGUUUAGUAAGUCUGAAGUUAAAGGCAUUGGCUCAACCAAUGUAUGCUUUGGAAACUGUUAGACUUGAGUGCAGAAGGGGAGAGUGGAAUUCCAUGUGUAGCGGUGAAAUGCGUAGAUAUAUGGAGGAACACCGGUGGCGAAAGCGGCUCUCUGGUCUGUCACUGACGCUGAGGCACGAAAGCUAGGGGAGCAAACAGGAUUAGAUACCCCCGUAGUCCCUGUCUCUUAUACA
rnacentral:rRNA from 1 species